rnacentral:rRNA from 1 species
UAACUACCCACCAGAGGGGGAUAACACUUGGAAACAGGUGCUAAUACCGCAUAACAGUUUAUGCCGCAUGGCAUAAGAGUGAAAGGCGCUUUCGGGUGUCGCUGAUGGAUGGACCCGCGGUGCAUUAGCUAGUUGGUGAGGUAACGGCUCACCAAGGCCACGAUGCAUAGCCGACCUGAGAGGGUGAUCGGCCACACUGGGACUGAGACGCGGCCCAG